GACCUAUCGACUGAAAAGCAACAGCAAAGCUAACUGGUCUGCUAGCCCAGUUAAUUUCUCUGAUAUACUCCCCUUUUGCAGGAAUUGAAUAUUAGAAACUUCAAGUACAAUCCCAAUUCUCUUCAUUUUCAGUUCAGUUUUGCUUUUGAACAGGAUUGUCUUCCCAUGUAUCUUGUAGUCUUUAAAUCCCGUCACUGGUAAGAUAUUUCCCUUUAAAGAAGAACAUGUGUACAAACAUGAAAUUUAAUUCUCUCUGAUAUCUUGGGACGAUGACCAUGACUGCUGCUGAUUACUCUGCACACGGUAAUACACCAUGUAUACGGACAAGGUCCUUUCAUUGAUGGAGAGCCCACCAGGCACGGAAAGAAAGGGAUCUUUGUCUGAGCAGCAGCACAUGACAGGCAUCCUUGUGACUGGCCGACUGACGCAGCCCAUGCCGCUGUCGCUUGAGCUCUCCCGGCUUUUUCUGCGCUCCGCUCCCAUGAGCUGGAGCAUGCUCAGCUCUUCACAAAAAAAAAAAACCAAACAAACCCCAACCCAACAACCAAAAACACCCAACAAAAAAACCAACCCAUGACAACAGCCUUUGAAAGGGGUGCCUGUGUUCAGGGUCAAAAAUAAUAAAUAAAUAAAUAAAUAAAGAACAAACUACAGCCCCCUGGGCAGUGCUUGGCCAGGCUGUUCCCAGGACAAGCCUGUUCCUAGAUUGCAGUAGGUAUCUUUCUCAGAGCUGAAGGGGUCUCCAAGGAAGUGAUUUUGGUUUGGUUUUUUUGUGGUGGUGCAUUUCAAUGGGAAAGUUAAAAAUAAAUGAGACAAAUCAAAGCCUGUGGCUGCUGCUGUUUCAGCUGAUGCCUCCUUUAGCAAAAGAUAAGCUUGAUAUGGUGUCUGAGAGCUCUUCACAAGAGAAAAUGGGCUUCUCCACACAAGAUUUUACAAAUGCAGCCUUCCUUCCUUACAACUUUGAGUAAUGUUUUGCUUCUGAAUGUUUAUGUUUCCCAACUAUCAGGGAAUAUAUGAAAUAGCUCUUCUGUGCAGUAGGAAUUAACGCAACAGCCUGAGCUCCACGAGGCCGCUGGGCCAGAGUUUUCCAGUGCUUGGAGACCAUGUGCAAGAGCAACCCAGGGGAACGAUACCACUCAAGGGAAUCCUCUGCUGAAGCCAGGGACAGCACUGCACCUGCAGAGGAACAGGCAACCAACCUGAGCAAAAGGGAUACCUUAACUUCCAGCUGGGUGUAGGUACCCAAACCUGUGAUCUCAGUUGCAGUCUUGCUAGGUCUGAGGGAAAAUCUAUAUGCAGAAGGAGAUGGACUGAUCUGGGAUUUAUAGGAAUGGUUUUACCCUAAUUAGGCACUACAGGAAGCAGAUGAAUGGAGGAAUAAAUAACAUGUUGAAACAGUAGAGAGUUGAGGAAGAAAAUAAUCUCCUUGAGGUUAAAAUUGUAUGAAUUCUUGGUUUUGUCUGGGGACAGAGGCACAGAACAUAUUGGCCGGGAACAAAACAACGUUGGAGGAGACUGAAGGGACUGAAGAUGACUUUCCAGGAGGGAGAGAAGCACCAGCAGACAGGGAACAGAGGCAGAAGCUAAAAGAGGAGCUGGAGAGGUGCACUGCUCUGCGAGGUACAGAGCCAUCAGAAAAAGCUACUGCAUGGAUGAAAUUCCCAGCCGUUAUAGGACGACAGGGUGAAUGCUGCAUUUAUAAGUGGUCCAAAAAGAAGCAAGUAAUUAUGUGAAGGAAGCAAAUGGCUGUGCAGUGUUUUGAAAGUCCUCUUAUAGUAGGUAUUCUCCUGUAUUUUUGCAAGACUGGAGUGGCACAAGUGCCAAUAAUAAAAAGCCCUCUGCCAUCAGAGAUCAUGUAGGGAUUAAUUCAGUACUGCCCUUAGAUAUUUCAUCGGAAGC